ACUGAUAAAGGCAAACCCGGUGGAAUCCGGGGACGCAAAGCCACGGGACCAGUUAGGUCAGCCGGGCCACCCCUA
rnacentral:ncRNA from 1 species